rnacentral:rRNA from 1 species
UACAGAGGAGCCAAGCGUUGUCCGGAAUUAUUGGGCGUAAAGCGCGCGCAGGCGGUUCCUUAAGUCUGAUGUGAAAGCCCCCGGCUCAACCGGGGAGGGUCAUUGGAAACUGGGGAACUUGAGUACUGAAGAGGAAGGCGGAAUUCCCGGUGUAGCGGUGAAAUGCGUAGAUAUCGGGAGGAACAUCAGUGGCGAAGGCGGCCUUCUGGUCCAGUACUGACACUCAAGUGCGAAAGCGUGGGG